AUAGGGAAGCAAAAGAACACAAGGAAGUAUGCAACCAUGAAGCGCAUGCUUAAACUCAGAGAUCAGAGGCUUAAAGAAAAGGAUAGAUUAAAACCUACAAAGAAAGAAGAAAAGGAUCCCAGCGCAUUAAAGGAAAGAGAAGUUCCCCAACACCCUUCCUGCCUAUUUUUCCAAUGUAAUGCACAGCUGGGCCCACCUUACUACAUCCUUGUUGAUACCAACUUUAUCAACUUUUCCUUAAAAGCGAAACUGGAUUUAGUGCAGUCAACGAUGGACUGUCUGUAUGCCAGGUGUAUCCCUUGUGUAACUGAUUGUGUAAUGGCUGAAAUUGAGAAAUUGGGGCAGAAGUAUUGAGUGGCUCUAAGGAUAGCCAAGGAUCCAAGGUUUGUACUGUGUACACACAAAGGAACCUAUGCAGAUGACUGCUUAGUACAGAGAGUAGCUCAGCAUAAAUGUUACAUUGUGGCCACAGUUGACCCUUAAGAUUCCUGGAGUUCCUGUCAUGUACAUUUCUAACCAUAGAUACAACAUUGAAUGGUUGCCAGAUGAUUACAGAGCCCCUCCAUUCUAA
rnacentral:lncRNA from 1 species